AAUAUUGCACAAUGGGCGAAAGCCUGAUGCAGCAACGCCGCGAGAGUGAUGAAGGCCUNAGGGUCNUNAAGCUCUUUUAUCAGGGNGAAUAAUGACAGUACAUGAAAAACAAGACACGGCUAACUACGUUCCAGCAGCCGCGGUAAUACGUAGGUGGCGAGCGUUGUCCGGAAUUACUGGGCGUAAAGGAUGCGUAGGUGGAUACUUAAGUAGGGUGUGAAAUCCCCGGGCUCAACCCGGGAACUGCAUUCCAAACUGGGUAGCUAGAGUGCAGGAGAGGAAAGCGGAAUUCCUAGUGUAGCGGUGAAAUGCGUAGAUAUUAGGAGGAACACCAGUGGCGAAGGCGGCUUUCUGGACUGUAACUGACACUGAGGCAUGAAAGCGUGGGUAGCAAACAGG
rnacentral:rRNA from 1 species